CGAAUGGCGCAGCGGUAGCGCAGCGGCUUUACACGCCGUUGGUCGGGGGUUCGAAUCCCUCUUCG
rnacentral:tRNA from 1 species